AAGGGUUACAAACUCGAAUGGCAUUCUUAUGUUCUGCUAAUCUGAUCUUUAAUUUCCUUGUAGUCAUCCCUAUAUAGAAACAACCACAUGGACACUCUAACCGAUACACUACAAAUGAGGUGCUUUCCGGAAUACAAUGGAGGGAGAUUCAGGCAUGACUUCCCUGAGAUGGGGAUCACUCAUCACAAUUUCCCAAUUCUUUUUUUAUAAUUUUCUUAAUUCUAUUCGCCUCUGUACUGUACUGUGUAACGAAAUAAACCGAAUUAUCAGA